rnacentral:rRNA from 1 species
UACGUAGGGUGCAAGCGUUGUCCGGAAUUAUUGGGCGUAAAGAGCUCGUAGGCGGUUUGUCGCGUCUGCUGUGAAAACGCGAGGCUCAACCUCGCGCCUGCAGUGGGUACGGGCAGACUAGAGUGUGGUAGGGGAGACUGGAAUUCCUGGUGUAGCGGUGGAAAUGCGCAGAUAUCAGGAGGAACACCGGUGGGCGAAGGCGGGUCUCUGGGCCGAUACUGAC